rnacentral:lncRNA from 1 species
UAGGCUGACAUUAUUCCCAAUUGGCCUGAGAAACCCCAUGCUACCCAGGAAUGACAAAAAAAUAAAUGAAUAAAUACAUUAAGCAGUUGUGAUUAACUUCCCAGGUGAUGACAAUACUGGAGAUGGGCAUGCCCCUGAGGUAGAAUGAUCCAGGCAUGGGCGUAGCCAGCCUUGAAAAUGUCAAUGACUUAGCAGGGUUCUUUUCAAAACUGAAUUUUUACAAGGGAGUUCAUAGAUGGACCUUGAUGGAAACUGACUACCAGAAAAGACUCGAUCUCUCUGCCAUGUUGGGGUCAGCAAACAAAUACCACAAGAUAAAUGCACUUCAGCAUUUCAAUUAUACCGUUUGUAUGCCCUCUGCCUUGCUACUUUCACACCAGAUUGUCUAAAAUGCCUGACGGACGCCGCUUCAGGAAGGAAGGAAGGAUUCGUGUUAGGUCAUAGUGGUCAGAGGGGUACAGGUCAUGAUGGUGAUGGGGCACGGGAGGACCAGAACAGUUUGUUUCACUGGUCAGGAAGGAAGGUCAGGAAGCAAGGUGAAGGCUGAUGCUCAGCUGGCUUUUUUGUUUCCAAAUCCUUUUAUUAUCUGAGCCCUGAGUAUAUGCUAUGGUGCCAUCCACAAUCAGGGUAGAUCUUACCUUAGUCUUCUCUGAAAAUGUCCCACUGAACACACAGCAUCUCUUAGAUUAUUUUUAUUUUGGGUGUUGGGGAUGGAGUAUGGGUAUGUGUUUGCAUAGCACGUGUGCGUGUACUUAAAAGGUCAAAGUUCGGGCUGGCGAGGUGGCUCAGUGGGUAAGAGCACCCGACUGCUCUUCCAAAGGUCCAGAGUUCAAAUCCCAGCAACCACAUGGUGGCUCACAACCAUCUGUAACAAGAACUGACUCCCUCUUCUGGUGUGUCUGAAGACAGCUACAGUGUACUUACAUAUAAUAAAUAAAUCUU